rnacentral:rRNA from 1 species
UACGAAGGGUGCAAGCGUUAAUCGGAAUUACUGGGCGUAAAGGGUGCGUAGGCGGUUGUUUAAGUCUGUCGUGAAAUCCCCGGGCUCAACCUGGGAAUGGCGAUGGAUACUGGGCAGCUAGAGUGUGUCAGAGGAUGGUGGAAUUCCCGGUGUAGCGGUGAAAUGCGUAGAGAUCGGGAGGAACAUCAGUGGCGAAGGCGGCCAUCUGGGACAUCACUGACGCUGAAGCACGAAAGCGUGGGGAGCAAACAGG